AACAGUGACAGGUUUCUGUCAUGUCUUCCACAGGCUUGACGAAGGCAAUAUCAUAAUCCAGAUGGUCUGAGAGUUUUUUUGUUGGUAGAGUUGCUUCACACUUUUUGUGUGGAUUCAUUGUGGUUAAGGUCAUGCCUUCCUAAGAGAAUUUGCUCUUUGGACACAUCUUCCAUCUUACCUCUAAAGGAAUAUCAAGGUGUGGAAAUGAAGACCAGAGAGAGAUUCAUCCCUUCCCAUCCCCUGGAAACAUGAAGGUUUGAUAGAGAACUGGAAGCUUUUUCUUCAUUUCUUAGAUCGUUCCUCUUUCCACAACUGCAAUAAUGUAGUUGAAGGGCAUCAGCUGUGUUAACUUCUCCGGUAAAUGCUCCAGAAUGUGAGUUCCCUGUUCUGCAAUGCUACCACACAGCUGAGCAGUCCAUCCCUGCCUCGUAAAGGGAGAUUAAGGAAGCGCAGCAAGCCCGGCACAGCUGCGGGUGCAGCGGGACACCAAGGCAGACCAAGCUGCCGGCUGAAGAAGCAGCAAAAGUCCCAAGGCAGAGUAUGAAAUUCUAGAAGAGUCGUCAUUGUAGCUGUCAGGGAACCUCACACAGGCUCCCGUGGGAAUCGCCAGUUUCCUCAAGCUCUGCCGCUGGAAAGGGACUGUUUUCCCUUCGUCCCUGCCAGCGCGGGUGCAUGACCCUCCCUCGCACGUAUCCUCUCUGACGUGUGUCCUUGGUCCCCUGCCAGGCAGGCCGUGACCUGGCACUCGGUCCCACAGCUGUGCGCCAGAUCCAUCCCCAGCCGUCCCGCAGGGCCCGUCCCGCCCGUGGCCCCAGGGCGACCUCAUCCCUCAGCCCGCCCAAGGAGCCGAGCGGAGCAGCUGCCACUUGUGCUGAGGUCCAAAGGCUUCACUGCCCGGCAGGGCACUUUCAGAGCUCUCUGCACUGUAUUUACUCACCUUGAAUCUUCGCUGUCUGUGUCGAGCUACCUCAGUGCCAGAGAGGAAUGAAAUGUUUCUGAACUCCCACACAAACAGUUUCAUAUAUAGACUGUAAACAGAUGUUUUAAUGGCCUUUUCCUGCACACCACACACAGCCUUUUUCCUUUCUCUAUUUAGGGAUUUCUCAUUUCUGCAAACUUUUUACUUACUGUCUAUUGAACAAAAGUACCACCUACACCUAACUCCAAACUUAGCUUUCAUUUAAGGAGGUUCUCAGGAAGGUCUUCUGUAGCUUCUCCAGACAACCUAACCAAAGGCAGAAGUUCUGGAAGCAAUGGGUUGCUUUUGUGAAUUAGGGUCCCAGCACAGAUGUGAACAAAUUUCUUAGUUGUUGUGGCCCAAACCUAUCAAUGCAAAAAAUAACUGGCACAGCAUCAAAGGACUCACACUAGGGGGAGGGAGGCAUGUAAACAGUGUAUAAACAAUUUUAACUAAACUAAAACUGUUUUUACAAAGCUUCAACCUGCUUCAGAAAAGUUGUUCUACCACAAACAUAGAUCGAGCCUGUAGCAAAACAGCAGUGCGAUUUUGGUCACUAAACAUUUUGCAGCUCCCCCCAGUAUAUAUAUACACACACAUUCCAGUCAAAAUUGGAGCGGGAAAGGACUCCUACUGCAGACUUGAAACACAAAGGCUGCAUUACAGCUCCAGGGUUUGCUCUCAUUUGAGUGGAGGAGCAGGUUGUUGAACAACAUGCAUCACACAAUUGAAACAGGUCUCUUCUGCUUUCUCAGAAACACUUGUCUCAUGUUUUCCCAAGAUCCUUUUUAAGAAAGCAGUUAUGGCAGUAUGACAAUAAAUUAACUCCUUAUUUUACUGUUAGAGUGAGGCUGAUGCUGAAAACAAGCAAAAAAAAAAGUAGAAAACAAAGGUCACUAUGUGAACAAGGAAGAAAUUACAACAAAACAAAUUAUAACAUCACGUCUUGCAUUUAAAUCAGUGUAAAAGCUUUUCUAAAAUUGGAUUGUCUGAGGCAGUGGCAUUCAUAGGAUUUUCCAGUCAAUAUGGCAAUAUGACAAAAGACAGCAUUCAAAUAACCUGCACACAGGAAUUUCUGCCCAGUCCCAAUCUGGAGUGCAUCAGUUUGCACUACAACCAGCACCAGAGGCAGUGUAAACAAAUUACCUACAGGCCUGCAAAAAGCCUUCAGAGGAGGGAAAAGGCCUGACUAUUUAUGCAUAUGUCAUCACUGAGGGUGUUGCGUCUGUGUCAGGGGAACGACCAGAAACUCCAGCUCCCACUGGAGUUGCUUUAAGGUCAGUGCAGCACAGGUCAGGUGCUAGCACUCAGGGCUGGACAGUUCUGUGUCCUUCCUUCCCUGCACUACAAAAAGCUGUCAGCAGGUCUGCUGGAAAGCACAAACAAAAGGGUGUUCGGGCAGGAUUCACUGCACCCCAAGCUGUGACCCCAUCUCUGCUUUACAGUAAAAAUUGUCGGAGGUGAGCAGGGACCAGAAGAUGCCGGAGAGGAAGAGCGGGUCUGUCCUGCGAAGCUGUGCGCCGGCGCUGAGCACCAGGUGGAGCUCGGAGAUGUAAUCCUGGCCAGCAGGAGUGCACGGGAGCGCCUGACCCACUUUCCUUAAGUCCUACUACCUUUAACACCUCGGGGGACAAAAUCUCCCCUUCAUCACACCUGUGAUCCCAUUGUUACUGGAGUUGUCUUUAGUGCCUGUAGGCAAGCAGGAGGUGGCUGGAAGGGGAUGGAAGUCUGCAGCAUCGUUUCUUUGCCUGUGUCCCUCUCCUUUGCUUUCUAAGCUUCCUUCACAUACCAUCUGAGUGGCAUAGCCUGUAGUAUACUGAAAGCCUGAUAAUAAGACAGAUAACAUCUGUUUAGGUCAAGUAUCUGAAAGGAUUAAUGCUCCCAAAGACUUACAACCUGCAGCUUAGUACUCUGCUAUCUGAACACAUUGGCCCUGGUACAUGUGAUGGCUGUCAGCUCAAGGCUCAGCACUUCUCCAGCUCAAGAAAGAUGGAAGCUGGACAUCCAAGCAACCAUGGCAAAGGAUAUGCACCAUUCCCUUCAUGGAUACAGUAAAAGCCACAAGCAAUGUGUGCUAAGUCUGGUGAAAGAGUUCCAGGGGAAAGAAACAGCUUCAUGGCACUGGUUUUACCUGUGGCAGGGUGCUGCCCCACAGAAAAUGGACAUGCUCAUUCCAGCUGGCAGAGGUGAAAAGGGAGCACAACCAUUUUUUACGGGGCAGAACUGCUGUGUGCAAGUUGCUUUCUAAACAAGAAAAGGAACAAAAUUUGCACUAAUCCACGUCACCCACAAAGCUUACUCAUCUCAUUCCCUUUAAAACCACAUGGUUCUGUAGAAUUGCUCCUGUGGAGGGGCAGGGGAGUGGGAUGACCUGGACUACAGCAUCAACAGAAAGCACCACAGGGUGCUUGUGCCUUCCUUGGCAGGCAUGAGGGGCUUGCAGGGCACACAGUACUUGUGGAUAGGCAGCACCUGCAGACACAAGCAGCCCAGGGCUCUGCACACAGGCUCACAGGCAUUAGAUUCCCCUGUUUUGACAAGGGUCACUUGUGGCCUGUGUAAGUAACAGUGCUUUGGAAGGAAGCUGAAUAGAACAUUAUAUUCUCCAUUUCAGAUCCAUAAUUCUGAAUGGAGGGAAAAGAAAUAAAAUUUAGAAAUCAAUUCUAGACCCUAAAGUCCCCUGAAAGGGAAAGACACAAGACACUGACGCAGCAAGUUCCACUAAGUUAUUUAACUGGUACCGUGAGAGUUGAUUAGAAUAAAGUUGUUUAUUUCCAACUCAUAAAUCCACAUGCUGCCUCUUUCUCUCUUGCCAAUUAACAGUAUUACUUAGCACUAAUAAACUGCUUUCAUUUUCAAGGGGCUUAAGAAGACAAUCACCUCAACAUGUCUGAAAGGAACAGAUGGCAAUGAAGUAUUACCAUUGCAAUUUCACAGUUGGAAAAGCUCCUGAGAGAGGGGGCAGUAGCAGUGUCUGGAGGAUACCUAGCCCUGUUCCCUCUGUGGAGCUGGUGUCCCUCGAUCUCACCUCCACUCUCAGCUUCUGCUUUAAUCCAACCUCACCACACAUUACCUUUCCUAGAGCAAAGCUAUCCUGUUUUUCUUACUCAUCCUUUAAUAGUGACUUACAUCUUUCUAGAAGGCCUCUUACCUCAGCACAUCUCCAGACAGGUUGCUACUGCUUUGGAUUUAAAAGACUAAAUGUCUAUCCAAUAAGGCAAUUAGUCCAGCCUGUCAUUAUUCUUACUGGCUAUAAGCAGAGAAGUGAUUAGGAAGAAACACAUUGCUCUGUCCAUACAGCGGAGAUGCUCUUUUCCCCUGAAACAUCUUGGUUACAUUUCAGUACAGAACAGUUGACUGCCUUUUCCUCUUCUCACUCACCCAUCUCAGAGGACUGUGCAAAAAUGCUGUUCUGUGGGGUCUUUUGGCUCAGCUGUACAACAAAAACUUUCUUAAGCUACAUCUGGAAGGAAGAUAGGCCUUCUAUGGAACAGGGGUUCCUAAAGCAAAACAUGUUCAGGUGAGGACUAAACAAACAAAUACAAUGAUUUUAAUAGUAACUGAUGUGACAGUGACUAAGCAACUGUUUAGUGUGCUGUUUUGGCUUUUUAAAAGAACUGAUUUAACUAUGGAAGGUUUUUAUUUAAAGCAUUGAGAUAAUACCCUCUAUUUCAGUAUUUAACUCCAGCCAAAGAUUAUCUCAAAUUGAAACUGCAAUGAUAAUAGUCAGUGCCAAAUGUCUCCCAGGAAACCUUCUCUAGGAAUGGUAACAGUAAAUACUACUUCAGAAUGAAAUUAAUUAUUCUAACACCUUUUCAGAAAUAUUUCAGCACAUACUGAUAUUAGUAUCAAUUGCCUUCAAUCUCUGCUGAGCCACUGAGCUAAGCAUCUCAGCCCAUUAUCAAUGUCAGCCAUCAAGUAUCAAUGUACAAUGUACAAUGAAAUCCUUCUAGAGACAUUAGUUAGUGUCUAGGGACAACAUAACAUAUCCAAAAUACUGCAUUAACUGGGGCUGUUCCUGCAUGUUAAGGUAAAAAAGUCACACUGAGACAAAAGGGUUAAACACCCAAUGUGCCAGUGCAUCCCUCCCUGAGAAUUCCUGGGAAAGGCAUCCCCAGUCUGCUCCGCUGGAACCUGAGUACUCAGGCUGGGGAGCAGAGGCAGCAUGGUGCAAUGCAAACUGGUUUUCAAAUGGGCUUGAGAAAAUAAUACACCCUAUUUCACCCUAGCUUGACAAGCAUCUGUGUUCAGCGUUGACCCACUCAGUUACCAAUCUAGUGUGAGUUUUCCUGCUAUUUUAUUUAUAUUUAAGAGUAGAAUGUAAUGGAUGUGGAUUUUCCUAAAUUAGAAAACAUCAAAAACAGAGUUCUCACAUUUACAAGAGUAACACUUCAACAGAGAAUACUUAAUAUAUAAAAUGGCUGCAUUUGAUUUUUUUUAGAAACUGAACCCAAAUAGCCCUUUUUUUAAGACUUCGAUUGUACAAGUAAAACAUCUUGUUUUAUCCCUGUAGCUAAUAUUCAGAUGAAUGUUUGUUGUUGGGUUUUUUUUUUCUCAGAUUUCCAUUAUAUUUUGUACUUUAAACCUUUCCAAAAGUGUAGGAAGUCCUCAAACAUAAACACUAUUUCUUGUAAAUAACGGCAACCCUGAUUAAUAACAUGAAGAUUCAGAAUGCCUGUAAUGAGUGAGCAUCUGUUUUUCUGAACUUGCAAACCAUUGGUAUCCUUUGCCUUUACUUGUAAUUUAUUUUUCUCAUUCAGGAAUGAUAAUUGUAUUUAUGACUGUAGUCAUACCAAUGCAUAAACCAUAAGUAAUUGACACCAGAACUGUAUCAAAUAUAAGUUCCAGGUUUUAUAGCACAACAUACAAAGAAUUAAAGGGAUUUUGCUGUAUUAUUCCAGUCCCUUCUGCAAACUCUCUCUUUCUGACCAGCUUGAUACUGGUCUUAUUAUAUCAUCUUCAUACAGCUGGGGGGCUUUAUUUUGGAG